GACGAAAGCUGCGCUAAUACCGCAUACCGCCCUGGAAGGGGAAAGCGGGGGACCGCAAGGCCUCGCGCGAUUAGAGCGGCCGAUAUCUGAUUAGCUUGUUGGUGGGGUAAAAGCCCACCAAGGCGACGAUCAGUAGCUGGUCUGAGAGGACGAUCAGCCACACUGGGACUGAGACACGGCCCAGACUCCUACGGGAGGCAGCAGUGGGGAAUAUUGGACAAUGGGCGAAAGCCUGAUCCAGCAAUGCCGCGUGAGUGAUGAAGGCCUUAGGGUUGUAAAGCUCUUUACCAGGGAUGAUAAUGACAGUACCUGGAGAAUAAGCUCCGGCUAACUCCGUG
rnacentral:rRNA from 1 species